rnacentral:rRNA from 1 species
AGGGUGCAAACGUUGUUCGGAAUUACUGGGCGUAAAGCGUGUGUAGGCGGUCCACUAAGUCGGGUGUGAAAGCCCUGGGCUCAACCCAGGAAGUGCACUCGAAACUGGCGGGCUAGAGUAUCGGAGAGGUUGGUGGAAUUCUCGGUGUAGAGGUGAAAUUCGUAGAUAUCGAGAGGAACACCGGUGGCGAAGGCGGCCAACUGGACGAAUACUGACGCUGAGACACGAAAGCGUGGGGAGCAAACAGG